GAGGAUAGGGAAAGCAGGAAAGGGGGACAGAGGGCAUGAGCUGUACAUGUAAGAAAUGCCCCCACUAAGGCAAUCCCCAGGCACCUGGGCCAGAGUCUGCUGCCCCUCACCCAGAAGAUGCUGCAGAUGUCACAUCACUGUUCAGGGUUAAACUCCCGUCAGGAUUCAAGGACAGACACCACAAGCCACGGCUGACCCCUUUUCCGUCUGAUGUUUCUGCCCCUCCUUAGCAAGGCCAUCCUGACUCAUGGACUCUGUUUUGUCACCAGUAAACGCCCCGAGGUUGUGACCAUGACGGACUGGAAGGCUCCUGUGGUGUGGGAAGGCGCUUAUAACAGAGCCGUCUUAGAUGAUUAUUAUGCCAAGCAGAAAAUUACCGUCGGCCUGACGGUUUUCGCUGUCGGAAGAUACAUUGAGCAUUACUUGGAGGAGUUCUUAACGUCUGCUAAUAAGCACUUCAUGGUUGGCCAUCGAGUCAUCUUUUACAUCAUGGUGGAUGAUGUCUCCAGGAUGCCUUUGAUAGAGCUGGGUCCUCUGCGCUCCUUCAAAGUGUUUGAGAUCAAGCCUGAGAAGAGGUGGCAGGACAUCAGCAUGAUGCGCAUGAAGACCAUCGGGGAGCACAUUGUGGCCCACAUCUAGCAUGAGGUUGACUUCCUCUUCUGCAUGGACGUGGACCAGGUCUUCCAAGACAAGUUUGGGUUGGAGACCCUGGGUGAGUCGGUGGCCCAGCUACAGGCCUGGUGGUACAAAGCAGAUCCCGACGAGUUCACCUACGAGAGACGGAAGGGGUCUGCAGCAUACAUUCCCUUUGGCGAAGGGGAUUUUUAUUACCACGCAGCCAUUUUUGGGGGAACACCUACUCAGGUCCUUAACAUCACCCAGGAAUGCUUCAAAGGAAUCCUCAAGGACAAGAAAAAUGACAUAGAAGCCCAAUGGCACGAUGAAAGCCAUCUAAACAAGUAUUUCCUUCUCAACAAACCCACUAAAAUCUUAUCCUCGGAAUACUGAUGGGAUUAUCAUAUAGGCCUACCUGCAGAUAUUAAGCUUGUCAAGAUGUCUUGGCAGACAAAAGAGUAUAAUGUGGUUAGAAAUAACAUCUGACUUUGUGCCAGUACAUUUCUGAAUUUGAGAGAGUAUUAUUCUGGCUACUUCCUCAGAAAAGUAACACUUAAUUUUAACUUAAAAAAAAAUACUAACUAAAGACCAACACAGCAAGUACAUAUUAUUUCUCCUUGUAACUCUGAGCCUUGUAAUACGAGAGAAUGAACCUGUGGUAAUCAGAUGUAAAUUCCCAGUGAUUUCUUAUCUAUUCUCAGUUGUGGGGGUGGGGAACGGAUAUACAAUCAGUUGAACCAAAAAAAAAAAAUUUGUCAUAGACAAAGAAAAAGCCAGAAGCAUUCUACAUGUGCCAAUUGACUUACUGGAGAGAAGUAUGCAAAGGACAUUGUUUGGCUUCUGUGCCAAGACUGGUCAAGAUUCCCAGUGCAUAUGGUGAAGAUGUUGGGAGCCACAGGCAAUCUGAGGGAGCCAGUGGAUGCUCAGCGCGAAAUGAAAACAAAGCCUCCAAGUAAGUUGGCCGUGAAAUAAGCAAAGAGAGAGUAGAAAGACAGGGAGCUGAUCACUGUGGGGCAGGGCCUCCUCUGAGGGGCACAGGGCAUGCAGUUGGCACAUAAAUACGGCAUGGAUCCAGGCAGUGUGGGUGGUCUCCAGUCUCCUCAACCAUGAUGACAGCCAGAGCAGUGUUGUCUUAUAAGAUGCUGCUUGUUUUGGCCAAGUCAUAUUCAGUAUGCCAGACUCUGGAACUUGAGUCUUCAGAUCCUUGGCCAGAGGAAGUGGAUGGUGUCUGAGGAAACAAAAACCUGUAGGGGACUGAAGAGGAUUGCCAGGACUUACACUUCCCAGACCUGGGUUUCAUGAUAGUCAGUUGUCAGCAAGUCCCGCCACCACUUGCUCUAACCCUCAGCCCAUCCAGCCCCACGUUGGAGGGCUGCUAUCAAGGAACCUCUCAUUUCCCCUUGCCCCACCUGCACUACUGAAGUAUAACAACCAGACAUGUUUAAUAAAAUGGUUAGUUGAUUUUAUGUCAAAAGUAGAGGGGAUGGCGAUGGGAGAUCCAGUCCUUGUGACUGAACAACUUACCACUCGACUCCUUUCUCUGAGAGAAGCUAUGAAAUCUUAUAUAUUAUUUAAACUUAAACAAGUCAGUGUAACGGGAGAAGAGAGGCAGCAUUUAUAUAUGCAGGCAUGUUUAUAUUUUGCUUGUGUUCCGGUUUACAUCAUUGCUUCCCAUUUUCAAGCAGUUGACUUAAAGGGCCACCUCACUGGCUUGAUGCUCAGCCGUGCGGGCUGCUUUGAUAAAAUGAAACCUCCAUUUUCUCUACUGUUUUACUGUGCCUCCUACUCUUCUGUUCUUGCCAAAAUUUUUCACAACCCAGUAAAACAAAAGAAAACCAACAAAAAUCCUGAAAAAGUGGGCUUGCAAAAGAAAAAGAUCAAAAGUCAGUUAGGACUCUUGAUUCUGUAAAAUUCAAGUUUUGGGGGAUCCAUUCUGGACUAGGGAGAGUUCAUGAUUUAAGUCUGAAAGCAAAGGAAUGAUGUAUCUUCAAAGAUCAGAAAGGAAUGAAAAGGAAUGAAGUUUCCUUUCGAAGGGAUCUUGAUUUUUUU